rnacentral:rRNA from 1 species
UACGGGGGGGGCAAGCGUUGUUCGGAAUUACUGGGCGUAAAGCGCGCGUAGGCGGAUCUGCAAGUCGGGGGUGAAAUCCCGAGGCUCAACCUCGGAACUGCCUCCGAUACUGGCAGUCUCGAGUGCGGGAGAGGUGAGUGGAAUUCCCAGUGUAGAGGUGAAAUUCGUAGAUAUUGGGAAGAACACCAGUGGCGAAGGCGGCUCACUGGCCCGUAACUGACGCUGAGGUGCGAAAGCGUGGGGAGCAAACAGGG